CCUACGGGCGGCAGCAGUGGGGAAUAUUGGACAAUGGGGGAACCCUGAUCCAGCCAUGCCGCGUGUGUGAAGAAGGCCCUCGGGUUGUAAAGCACUUUCAGUGAGGAAGAACGCCUGGUGGUUAAUACCCAUCAGGAAAGACAUCACUCACAGAAGAAGCCCCGGCUAACUCCGUGCCAGCAGCCGCGGUAAUACGGAGGGUGCGAGCGUUAAUCGGAAUUACUGGGCGUAAAGCGCGCGUAGGUGGCUUGAUAAGCCGGUUGUGAAAGCCCCGGGCUCAACCUGGGAACGGCAUCGGAACUGUCAAGCUAGAGUGCAGGAGAGGAAGGUAGAAUUCCCGGUGUAGCGGUGAAAUGCGUAGAGAUCGGGAGGAAUACCAGUGGCGAAGGCGGCCUUCUGGACUGACACUGACACUGAGGUGCGAAAGCGUGGGUAGCAAACAGGAUUAGAUACCCGUGUAGUC
rnacentral:rRNA from 1 species